ACUUACAUCUACAAACGCCGGGGAAUUACGAGCUACGCUUAAAACCCAAAGGAUUUGACGGUGUCCCACCCCCCUAGAGGAGCCUGUUCUAUAAUCGAUAAUACCCGCUAUACCCAACCACCUCUCGCUAUUCAGUCUGUAUACCUCCGUCGAAAGCUUACCAUGUGAACGCCUACAGUAAGUACAAUGGCUACCAACGUCAACACGUCAGGUCAAGGUGCAGCUUAAGUGGUGGAAAGUAAUUGGCUACAAUUUCUAACCUAGAACAAACGGAAGGCUAUGUGAAACCAUAGUUCUGAAGGCGGAUUUAGUAGUAAAAAGAAAAUAGAGCGUUCUUUUUAACCCGGCUCUGGGACGCGUACACACCGCCCGUCCC
rnacentral:rRNA from 1 species